rnacentral:rRNA from 1 species
GAGUUUGAUCAUGGCUCAGAUUGAACGCUGGCGGCAGGCCUAACACAUGCAAGUCGAGCGGAUGACGGGAGGUUGCUCCUUGAUUCAGCGAAAAACGGGUGGGUNAUGCCUNGGNAUCUGCAAAAAAGAGGGGGACAACGUUUCGAAAGGAACGCUAAUACCGCAUACGUCCUACGGGAGAAAGCAGGGGACCUUCGGGCAUAAAGCUAUCAGAUGAGCCUAGGUCGGAUUAGCUAGUUGGUGGGGUAAUGGCUCACCAAGGCGACGAUCCGUAACUGGUCUGAGAGGAUGAUCCAGUCACACUGGAACUGAGACACGGUCCAGACUCCUACGGGAGGCAGCAGUGGGGAAUAUUGGACAAUGGGCGAAAGCCUGAUCCAGCCAUGCCGCGUGUGUGAAGAAGGUCUUCGGAUUGUAAAGCACUUUAAGGGGGGAGGAAGGGCAGUAAGUUAAUACCUUGCUGUUUUGAGGGUACCGACAGAAUAAGCACCGGCUAACUCUGUGCCAGCAGCCGCGGUAAAGGGCGAA